AGAGUUUGAUCAUGGCUCAGAACGAACGCUGGCGGCAGGCUUAACACAUGCAAGUCGAACGGUUGUAGCAAUACAGCAGUGGCAGACGGGUGAGUAACACGUGGGAACCUUCCUAGGGGUACGGAACAACUCAGGGAAACUUGAGCUAAUACCGUAUACGUCCGUAAGGAGAAAGAUUCAUCGCCCCUAGACGGGCCCGCGUAGGAUUAGGUAGUUGGUGAGGUAACGGCUCACCAAGCCUACGAUCCUUAGCUGAUCUGAGAGGAUGAUCAGCCACACUGGGACUGAGACACGGCCCAGACUCCUACGGGAGGCAGCAGUGGGGAAUCUUGGACAAUGGGCGCAAGCCUGAUCCAGCCAUGCCGCGUGAGUGAAGAAGGCCUUCGGGUUGUAAAGCUCUUUUACCAGGGACGAUAAUGACGGUACCUGAGAAUAG
rnacentral:rRNA from 1 species